AUUCUUGCUUCAACAGUUCAUACACUAAAAUUGGAAUGAAACAGAGAAGAUUAUCAUGGCCCCUGCACAAGGAUGACAUGCAAAUUAGUGAAGUAUUCCAUAUUCUU
ensembl:snRNA U6 U6 spliceosomal RNA